GGUGGUCCUCUGUAGCUCAGCUGGUAGAGCACGGCGCUUAUAACGCCAAGGUAGUGGGUUCGAUCCCCACGACCACCC